rnacentral:rRNA from 1 species
CCUACGGGUGGCAGCAGUAGGGAAUAUUGCACAAUGGGCGAAAGCCUGAAGGAGCAAAGCCGCGUGGGGGAAGAAGGUCUUCGGAUCGUAAAACCCUUUUGUUAGAGAAGAAAGUGCGUGAGCGUAACUGCUCACGUGUCGACGGUAUCUAACCAGAAAGCCACGGCUAACUACGUGCCAGCAGCCGCGGUAAUACGUAGGUGGCAAGCGUUCUCCGGAUUUAUUGGGCGGAAAGGGAACGCAGGCGGUCUUUUAAGUCUGAUGUGAAAGCCUUCGGCUUAACCGGAGUAGUGCAUUUGAAACUGGGAGACUUGAGUGCAGAAGAGGAGAGUGGAACUCAAUGUGUAGCGGUGAAAUGCGUAGAUA